UGGGGAAUCUUGCGCAAUGGGCGGAAGCCUGACGCAGCAACGCCGCGUGAGCGAAGAAGGCCUUCGGGUUGUAAAGCUCUGUCAGGGGGAAAGAAGGCACCUGGGUUAAUAGCCCAAGGGCUGACGGUACCCCCAAAGGAAGCCACGGCUAACUACGUGCCAGCAGCCGCGGUAAUACGUAGGUGGCAAGCGUUGUCCGGAAUUAUUGGGCGUAAAGAGCGCGUAGGUGGCUUGUCAGGUCUGAUGUGAAAACUUGGGGCUCAACCCCAAGCCUGCAUCGGAAACCGGCUUGCUAGAGUCUGGGAGAGGAGAGUGGAAUUCCUGGUGUAGCGGUGAAAUGCGUAGAUAUCAGGAGGAACACCGGUAGCGAAGGCGGCUCUCUGGAACAGUACUGACACUGAGGCGCGAAAGCUAGGGGAGCGAACA
rnacentral:rRNA from 1 species